rnacentral:lncRNA from 1 species
GUGGGUGGAUGAAUGGACAGACUGAGAUUUUAGAUGUACACUAGUUUGAGGACGAUGAAAAGGACUCUUUUUCUGGCAUAAUUUACCCAUGCUUUUCUGGUUAUCUUUUCAAAUAGGCUUUGACCUCAAACUCACCCAGAGAAUCUAUAGCUAAAAAUUAAAAAUCUGUGCAACAUUCAGUGAAUGAUGAGUUCAGAUCCUGAUCCCUUCCUGUGAGCUGGAUGCUUGUCUCCUGAGGCACAAUAAGGAAGAUUUUGUUCAAGGUUCUGAGUGUACUCUGAAGUUGACCAAGGUCAUCAGCUGUGUUUUAGAAGGGAUACUCAUGGAUGGGACCUUUUGGGGCCUUUAAUAAUAUUUACUUAUUGAAUGUGUAUGAAUGGUUUUCCUGCAUGUGUGUAUGUGCACCAUGUGUGUGGAUGGUGUCCACAGAAGUCAGAGGACUGUAUUGGGUCCCUUGAAACGACUAUUAUUGAAGACCCGUCUUAAUUUUUAAUAUGCUUUAUUGCAUUUAACUGUAUGUGUGUUAGAUCUAGUAGAAUAGAAAAUGGGAAAUAGUCUUGAAUGCAUGGAUACAGGAGACAGUUUCCUGAACGGAAUACCAAUAGCUCAGGCUCUGAGAUCAACAAUUGAUACAUGGGACCUCAAGAAUCUCAUAUGCUUCUUUAAGGCAAAGGACAUUGUCAAUAGCAACCUACAGAUUGGGAAAAAAUCUUCAUCAACCCUACAUUCCAACGGAGGGCUGAUAUCUAAAAUAUAUAAAGAACUCAAGAAGCUAGACUGACAAAAACAACCUAAUUAAAAACUAGAGUGCAGAGAUAAACAGAGAAGUCUCAACAGAGGCAUCUCCAAUGGCCAAGAAACACUUAAAGAAAUGUUAAACCUCAAGAUUUCACCAUACAACCAUCAGAAUGGCUAAGAUAAAAUAUUUAAGCAACAGCUUAUGCUGGUGUGGAUGUGGAGCACAGGGACUGCACUUCCACUGCUGGUGGGAGUACAAACAUGUACAACCACUCUGGAAAUCAAUGUGAUGGUUUCUCAGAAAAUUGGAAAUAGUUCUACCUGAAGACCCAGAUAUAGUGUUUCUGGGCAUAUACCCAAAAGAUGCUCCACUAUAUCACAGGCACACAUGCUCUACUGUGUUCAUAGGAGCAUUGUUCAUAAUAGCCAGAAACUAAAACCAACCCAGAUAUCCUUCAACCAAGGAAUAGAUAC